GAUGAACGCUGGCGGCGUGCUUAACACAUGCAAGUCGAACGAAGCACCUUGAUUUGAUUCUUCGGAUGAAGAUCUUGGUGACUGAGUGGCGGACGGGUGAGUAACGCGUGGGUAACCUGCCUCAUACAGGGGGAUAACAGUUAGAAAUGACUGCUAAUACCGCAUAAGACCACAGCACCGCAUGGUGCAGGGGCAAAAACUCCGGUGGUAUGAGAUGGACCCGCGUCUGAUUAGGCAGUUGGCAGGGUAACGGCCUACCAAACCGACGAUCAGUAGCCGGCCUGAGAGGUUGAACGGCCACAUUGGGACUGAGACACGGCCCAG
rnacentral:rRNA from 1 species